AAAUUAUAAUAAAAUUCUUCAAAACAAUUUCUUUCCGCAAAGGAUGUUUUUAUCCUAAACUUUGAAAAUUCAUAUCUUUUGAUGCAAUUGUUCAAUUUUUUUAAUUUUUUAUUUGACAUAGAUUCUAUCUUUAAUUUUUUCUACAAAAAAAUGAAUUAUAAAUCUAUUACCAAUCUUUUGGCAUCUUUGAAAUCCUAGCAGG
rnacentral:lncRNA from 1 species